rnacentral:rRNA from 1 species
GACGAACGCUGGCGGCGUGCUUAACACAUGCAAGUCGAACGGAAAGGCCCUUCGGGGUACUCGAGUGGCGAACGGGUGAGUAACACGUGGGUGAUCUGCCCUGCACUUUGGGAUAAGCCUGGGAAACUGGGUCUAAUACCGGAUAGGACCACGGCAUUCAUUUGCUGUGGUGGAAAGCUUUUGCGGUGUGGGAUGGGCCCGCGGCCUAUCAGCUUGUUGUUGGGGUAAUGGCCUACAAAGGCGACGACGGGUAGCCGGCCUGAGAGGGUGACCGGCCACACUGGGACUGAGAUACGGCCCAGACUCCUACGGGAGGCAGCAGUGGGGAAUAUUGCACAAUGGGCGCAAGCCGGAUGCAGCGACGCCGCGUGAGGGAUGACGGCCUUCGGGUUGUAAACCUCUUUCGCCAGGGACGAAGCGCAAGUGACGGUACCUGGAGAAGAAGGACCGGCCAACUACGUG